rnacentral:lncRNA from 1 species
AUGUGUAUGUGUACAUGUGUACAUAGAGUGAGGUUAAUUUUGGGUUUAUUAUUGUUGAAUAGAUAAGUUUAUUUUGGCAAAGAAGAGAAAACGAGAAUAAACCUUUCUUGCAGAAGAAAAAGACAAGCUAGUGAAAUUGCUGACAUCUCAUAGAGACACAAUAUUAAACAAAAAACUGAUGGGACCACGAACGAAGCCAAAAACAAAGCUUGGAUCCAGUCACAAAUAGUUUUAAUGCGACAGGAACCCUUUACAGUUUCAGGUGGUGCGAGAAAUUGGAAAGACGUGUAAAAACAUGCUGCGCCCAGCCCACCUCAAAUUGAAUUGGUGCAGGAGGAUGAUGAUAAUGUUUGGUACAUCAUAUGAGGACUAAUAUUAAAAUAUUUGUUUACUAUCUUUGUUUUAAUUUACAUAAUUUAUUAUGUUCAAUGUUAGCCUACUUCUUACCUCCAGAGGGUAUCCCCUAUCACCUAGGAGAUAGGCUCCUCCAUAUUCACCAUUUUCGAAUCAUUGGUAUCUACUGCAGUUUUGGUAUUUAUGCCUAUUCAAACCUGAGCGAUAUUCGCUGCCGCUGUGGGUAGAGGUAGAUACCGCGCCGGUUUCGCUCAGGUAUUUAGUAUCAAGUAUAGUUACCGGCACGGAUAUUGAGCUCUCGGCGGAAGAGUGGGGAUCGCUUUGCGCACUGUACACAAGGCAAUAAACCAAUAAAUGGCUUCUGCGCAGGUGAAGGUCAGGGCUCAAUAUCCGUGCCGAUAACUAUACCGCGGCUAGAGCGACCUGAGCGAUAUCCACUGCCGCUGUGGGUAGAAGUACAUACCGCGCGGCAGCAGCGGCAUGCAUCCCGAACAUCAACAGUAAUAUUAACGCAUACCCACAGGGUUUUCUCUGCCGUAGACGGUAGCGAAUACCGCUUAGGUCUGAAUAGGCCUAUAGUUGUCCCGGCCACCGCGAAACUACAUCAGCGAUUACCAGAUUUGCAUCUGUUAUGGUCUGUAUAUUUAUGGACAUGCAGGACUUCCUAUUUUUGAAUAAUUCAGCGACAUCACGACCUAGCAAGUGCAUUCAUAGCAAGUGAUAACCUAUAAUCUUAUAAAAAAGUCAUGAUCAUCGUACUUUUUUCUCAGACAUCUGCUCUUUCACGUAAGAUAGGUACGUGGUCUUCUAAUGAUUAUUAUUUUACAUAUCCACAACCUCCACAGCUUCUAAACUUUCUAAAAGUUUACGUUUCAUUUUUUUUUGCUUUUUAAACAUGGUAUUUUUGGUGUUACAUAACAUAUAAAGGUACAUUUCACUAUCCAUCGCCAGAAA